rnacentral:lncRNA from 1 species
CUAACACUCUUAUACCACUCUUUCUCUUUUUCUUCAGUUAUCGUCAUCGAACUAGGAACGAUGAUGGGCUCAGCUUGACGUCAAACAUAACCAAAUGUCAACAGCCGUGUUACGUUCCAAUGGGGUGGUUUUACUAGAUCGAAUUAUAGGUAAGCAGAACUUGGGCCCUACUACUACUACUACUACUACUCGAUGGGAUUGAUGGGAUGAACGAAGUGGCCCCAUAGCGAGCUUUCUUCUCUCAAUUAAGCUCGACAAUUUGUUUCACUUAGGCCCACGCCAAGUUGUUACAUCGUGAAACAGAAAGACACGAAUGAAUGAAGGAAACCAAAAAAAAAAUACGGGGAACGGGGUUACUUCAAAAAUGGGAUUAGGUUCACGCCUGGUAUUUUUUUUUCUUUUUGCGAUGAAUCGAAU